GUAGGUGGCAAGCGUUGUCCGGAAUUAUUGGGCGUAAAGCGCGCGCAGGCGGUUCUUUAAGUCUGAUGUGAAUGCCCACGGCUCAACCGUGGAGGGUCAUUGGAAACUGGAGAACUUGAGUACAGAAGAGGAAAGCGGAAUUCCACGUGUAGCGGUGAAAUGCGUAGAGAUGUGGAGGAACACCAGUGGCGAAGGCGGCUUUCUGGUCUGUAACUGACGCUGAGGCGCGAAAGCGUGGGGAGCAAACAGGAUUAGAUACCCUGGUAGUCCACGCCGUAAACGAUGAGUGCUAAGUGUUAGGGGGUUUCCGCCCCCCUUAGUGCUGCAGCUAACGCAUUAAGCACUCCGCCUGGGAGUACGGCCGCAAGGCUG
rnacentral:rRNA from 1 species